rnacentral:rRNA from 1 species
AACGAACGCUGGCGGCAUGCCUAACACAUGCAAGUCGAACGAGACCUCCGGGUCUAGUGGCGCACGGGUGCGUAACGCGUGGGAACCUGCCUUUAGGUUCGGAAUAACUCCCCGAAAGGGGUGCUAAUACCGGAUAAUGUCUUCGGACCAAAGAUUUAUCGCCUUUGGAUGGGCCCGCGUUGGAUUAGCUAGUUGGUAGGGUAAAAGCCUACCAAGGCGACGAUCCAUAGCUGGUCUGAGAGGAUGAUCAGCCACACUGGGACUGAGACACGGCCCAGACUCCUACGGGAGGCAGCAGUGGGGAAUAUUGGACAAUGGGCGAAAGCCUGAUCCAGCAAUGCCGCGUGAGUGAUGAAGGCCUUAGGGUUGUAAAGCUCUUUUACCCGGGAUGAUAAUGACAGUACCGGGAGAAUAAGCUCCGGCUAACUCCGUG